AGAGUUUGAUCAUGGCUCAGAUUGAACGCUGGCAGCAUGCUUUACACAUGCAAGUCGAACGGCAGCACAGGGAGCUUGCUCCCGGGUGGCGAGUGGCGCACGGGUGAGUAAUACAUCGGAACGUGUCCUGUUGUGGGGGAGUAACUGCUCGAAAGGGUGGCUAAUACCGCAUGAGACCUGAGGGUGAAAGCGGGGGAUCGCAAGACCUCGCGCAAUUGGAGCGGCCGAUGCCCGAUUAGCUAGUUGGUGAGGUAAAGGCUCACCAAGGCGGACGAUCGGUAGCGUGGUCUGAGAGGACGACCAGCCACACCUGGGACUGAGACACGGCCCAGACUCCUACGGGAGGCCA
rnacentral:rRNA from 1 species